rnacentral:rRNA from 1 species
UACAGAGGUCUCAAGCGUUGUUCGGAUUCAUUGGGCGUAAAGGGUGCGUAGGCGGCGCGGUAAGUCGGGUGUGAAAUCUCGGGGCUUAACUCCGAAACUGCAUUCGAUACUGCCGUGCUUGAGGACGAGAGGAGACUGGAAUUUACGGUGUAGCGGUGAAAUGCGUAGAUAUCGUAAGGAAGACCAGUGGCGAAGGCGGGUCUCUGGACAGUUCCUGACGCUGAGGCACGAAGGCCAGGGGAGCAAACGGG